GACGAACGCUGGCGGCGUGCCUAAUACAUGCAAGUAGAACGCACAGUUUAUACCGUAGCUUGCUACACCAUAAACUGUGAGUUGCGAACGGGUGAGUAACGCGUAGGUAACCUGCCUGGUAGCGGGGGAUAACUAUUGGAAACGAUAGCUAAUACCGCAUAAUAUUGAUUAUUGCAUGAUAAUUGAUUGAAAGAUGCUAUUGCAUCACUACCAGAUGGACCUGCGUUGUAUUAGCUAGUAGGUGAGGUAACGGCCCACCUAGGCGACGAUACAUAACCGACCUGAAAGGGUGCUCGGCCACACUGGGAUUGGGGCACGGCCCAGACUCCUACGGGAGGCAGCAGUAGGGAAUCUUCGGCAAUGGACGAAAGUCUGACCGAGCAACGCCGCGUGAGUGAAGAAGGUUGUCGGGUCGUAAAGCUCUGUUGUAAGAGAAGAACGGGUGUGAGAGUGGAAAGUUCACACUGUGACGGUAUCUUACCAGAAAGGGACGGCUAACUACGUG
rnacentral:rRNA from 1 species